rnacentral:sRNA from 1 species
UCCAAUUUAGGGCUUUGCAGGGGCUCCCUCCAGGGCUCUCUCAAUGGAUUUAUAUCACAGCCAGAUAGCAUCUUCGAAAGCUCAUCUGAGCUGGAAAAUAGAGAAACAUCCUUCUCCAUUGUCAAGUGACAAGCGAUGGUACCCAGGCUGCUGACUCUUCAAUCCUGCAAAUCUUGAAACAAAGACUUCCCUGUCCUCUCGGCUUGUCACCUGUAGGCAUGAAGAUGUCAGCUCCCUGGCCAACCACCAGGUAUGAAAGCUGCCCUACUGCGUGCACCAGGUGGGGCUCCUCUUAGUUGUUCCUGGAUGGGAUUAUGACCCAGAGUGAGGAAGUGCACUGCCCACAUACCUAAGGAUCUGCUGCUAUCAUCCGGGGCCUGAAAAAGGGCAAAGGGACUCUGUUGCUAUCUUUAGACCUGAUUGCUGGCUGCGAUACCAGCCUCUAGCCAAGGGUGUUUGCAGUCCUAGAGCGUUCUUUCCAAAUAGGGAACACCAAGGAUGUUUGCAAACAUAGAAUGCCUUUUUCAAAUCGGACCAUCAAACUCCACCCUCUGAACAGUUUCACGUACUUCUUGGUGUCCUGUGACUUCAUUUUGUCCCAGUCCUGUUCUAUAAGAGCCCUCAGUGUCUGAGAGCUUGCCCCAAAGCAAGUGCACCAGCUCAGACCUGGGGUGGGGCUCCUGUAGUGUGCCAUUUAGGUCUGUGGAGAAGAAGCAGCUGUGUGCAUCUGGACCCUCAGUGCUGUUUCUACACACAGACUCUGAUGCCAGGGUUCUACAGCCCCCUAUAAGACGUGGUCCACUUAUACCUUGCAGAUGAGGAAACCCAGGAACGGGCUGGAGAGAUGGCUCAGCCGUUAAAAGGCUAGGCUCACAACCAAAUAUAUAAGAGGAAACCCAGGAACUAGAAGAGGAAGUGACUGACUGGCCAUGGUGUGAGGCAUGGAACAGGGCAAGAGAGCAGGCUGUUCAAUCAUAGACUCCGUCCUUCUCAAUGUGACUGUGACUGUCAAUGUACAGGUGCCGGGACCUCAGGAGGUUUCCAGAAUGAAGGAAUCUGUGUCUAUGUCUGCUGUCCAGGCCUGCAGCGAAGUGGUGACCAGUGGAGAGGCCAGGUGGUGUAGGGGCUGCACCCAGCUUGCUGCUCGGUAUAAAAUGGAAAUUUGGAGCUGUUUGCAGGUCUUCUCACCCCCACACUGAGAAGGGAGCAGGCAGACUUUGCGCCUGAAGACAAGAACACAGUGCUGGGUAACACAAGCAGCUGGUUCUUAUGUAAAUAUUGACGGAGUUGCUACCCCGGUCCUGGCAGUGGGUGGGAGCCCUUUGACGGUAAGAGAAUGCACCAUUGUGGUCCAUUGUGAGGUGUGGGGUGAGUAGGACACAGGGCUAAGUCUGAGCACGACAGAACUGUGGGCUGAACAGGAUCACCAUGUGGGCCUCCACUUGCUCCUUACUCCAUAUCUACCUUCUGCAGAUCUCUCUGGCAUCCCUGGAGCGGGCCUACCUGUAUGGGAUCCACCUCAGCGGAUAGCCAGCAGCAUACCAGGCAGUUGGCUCAGGGAGGGAACACCUGGAUGGGCUAGUCCUGGCAACCCCGGAUGAAGAACAUCACUGGUGGUGAGUGAUCUGUGGUGCCAACAGCAGGAGGGGAAAAAGAAGGAGGAGGAGGAGUAGGAAGGGGAGGAGGAGGAGGAAAAGGAGG